rnacentral:rRNA from 1 species
GAUGAACGCUAGCGGGAGGCUUAAUACAUGCAAGUCGUACGGUAACAUUGGAGCUUGCUCCAGAUGACGAGUGGCGCACGGGUGAGUAACGCGUACACGACCUACCUUUAAGAGGGGGAUAGCCUUUGGAAACGAAGAAUAAUACCCCAUGUGAUUAACUUUUCUAAAAUGGUUAAUUAAAGGAUUCGUCCGCUUAAAGAUGGGUGUGCGUACUAUUAGCUUGUUGGUGAGGUAACGGCUCACCAAGGCGACGAUAGUUAGGGGGCGUGAGAGCGUGACCCCCCACACGGGUACUGAGACACGGACCCGACUCCUACGGGAGGCAGCAGUAAGGAAUAUUGGACAAUGGGCGCAAGCCUGAUCCAGCCAUCCCGCGUGCAGGAUGAAGGCCCUCUGGGUCGUAAACUGCUUUUAUAUACCAAGAAUAGCAGAUAUUUAUAUUUGUAUGACGGUAGUAUAUGAAUAAGCACCGGCUAACUCCG